rnacentral:rRNA from 1 species
AUGGUCGCUUUCCGUGAUACGUUGGAGAUUUGUGGUCUUGUUGACCUAGGUUUUGUUGGGACCCCGUUUACGUAUGAUAAUAAGAGGGGCGGAGGAGGCAAUGUGAAGGUGAGGCUGGAUAGGGCAGUGUCUAACAACGCAUGGAGGAAUUUGUUCACUUAUGCUUUGAUACUUCAUGUGCCAUCACCAUGCUCGGAUCAUGUGGCACUUGUACUGAAGGGGUCGGCUGAUCGAGGACCGAAUGGAGGGAAGCAGCAGAGGUAUGAACUUUUUUGGGAGAGGGACGGAGCUUUACCGGAGGUGAUUAAGGAGGCUUGGGAGGCCGCGGGAGGUGUGCACAACAUGACACAGCUGAGAGACGCGCUAACUAAAACAACGACAACCCUGCGUCUUUGGAGCAAA